rnacentral:SRP_RNA from 1 species
GCUGGGUGCGGUGGCACAUGCCUGUAGUCCCAGCUACUCGGGAGGCUGAGGCUGGAAGAUCACUUGAGCCCAGGAGUUCUAGACUGUAGUGCGCUAUGCCGAUGGAGUGUCCACACUAAAUUCGGCAUCAAUUUGGUGACCUCCUGGGAGCGGGGAACCACCAGAUUGCCUAAGGAGGGGUAAUGAACGGGAGGCCCAGUUAAGAAAUGAAGCAGGUCAAAACUCCCAUGCUGAUCAGUAGUGGGACAGCAUCUGUGAAUAGCCACUGCACUCCUGCCUGGGCAACAUAGCGAGACCCCAUCUCU